rnacentral:rRNA from 1 species
AGUGAACGCUGGCGGUAGGCCUAACACAUGCAAGUCGAACGGCAGCACAGCAAGAGCUUGCUCUUACGGGUGGCGAGUGGCGGACGGGUGAGGAAUACAUCGGAAUCUACUUUUUCGUGGGGGAUAACGUAGGGAAACUUACGCUAAUACCGCAUACGACCUACGGGUGAAAGCAGGGGAUCUUCGGACCUUGCGCGAUUGAAUGAGCCGAUGUCGGAUUAGCUAGUUGGCGGGGUAAAGGCCCACCAAGGCGACGAUCCGUAGCUGGUCUGAGAGGAUGAUCAGCCACACUGGAACUGAGACACGGUCCAGGCUCCUACGGGAGGCAGCAGUGGGGAAUAUUGGACAAUGGGCGCAAGCCUGAUCCAGCAAUACCGCGUGGGUGAAGAAGGCCUUCGGGUUGUAAAGCCCUUUUGUUGGGAAAGAAAAGCAGCAGGUUAAUACCCCGCUGUUCUGACGGUACCCAAAGAAUAAGCACCGGCUAACUUCGUG